UGUAUAAAAUUACUUUCAUACUUAUAUGAAAGUAGUAUGAAAGUAAUUUUAUACAAUAAUUAUGUAAGGUGUAUGUGAAACAUAAAUGAAUUUUGUGUUUAUACUGGGGCCCCAUCCCCAAGUGGGUGUCUGAGCAAAUCUUCCAAAAUUCAGGAAAAUUCGAAAUCCAAAACAAUUCUGGUACCAAGCAUUUUGGAUAAGGGACUCUCAUCCUGUAUAUGCAUUAUCAUUGAAGGCAGCAUGUGAUACAUACUAUGUUAGUUUUACGGAAGUAGCUGCUGAAAUCAAAUAAAAAAGAGUAUGUGAUAAAAUGUACAAGGUGGAAGAGGCGACUUUGGCCUGGGUGAUCUGGGACAGUUUCAUGGAGAGAGAGACUGGGGACUAGGUUUUUUGGUUGGGUGGUUCUUGAAAUAGAAGAACAUUUCUGGCAGUGGGGAAGGCAGUGGGAAAGGCCUGGAGGUGAAAAAGGACAGGAUUUAUUUGGGUCAUGGCAAAUGAAUUUACUCAGAGAAGACGGGGAGGCUAGUCCAGUCAAGGCCUGAGCCACUUGCAGCCUAAGGGGUCUAUAUUGUGUAGGGACCUGAAUGCCAAGUGGGGGGUACCAGAUUUUGCGGUGGUAGGCUCACCUGAUCAGAGUGGCCCUGGAAGAUUAAUAUGUUGGAGAUGUGGGAACUAAAUGGGAGUGGGAACAGACGGAGUCCGUGAGAUCAGCUGUGUUGGUUCUGUGUGUGGCGUAUUGAAUUGGAACGGGAGUUGUAGAAGCAAGUCUGGUGCUGUCACCCCCACUCCACUACCUCCCCGAGAUGGUUUUGAACAUGCUGACACUGUCAGUCAGAGGAAAAGCUUCUAAAGCUCUUCGUAUUCCCUGCCUACCUGGCACCGAGUAGCUAUGAAAUCAUUGUUGAAAGAAUGAGUGAAUCAGCAAUAUAAUUUUGUGCCUGAAGGUGCAGCGAGGGAGGAUUCAGAGUUGAAGCUGAGUCUUUGGCGGCAGGGUGACUGAAUAAACAUGCUUUCUAGUGUAUGGGUAUUGGUGAAGAGAAGAGGAAGAUUGGCUCUGAGGAGGGAUAAGUUAAGAAUUUUGGGUUUGAACAGUUUUAUACCAUCUUGUUCAAUGUAAGGGAUAUUGGUGUUUACAAACUUUAAUAUAUUACUGUUGAGAAUAUAAUUUUCUAAUUCCAGUCAUGCAAAGAGAUCUGAGUGUUCUGAUCUCCAAAGUGAUGUCAAAGAGAUGAUGGAAGGAUCUGGAUUUCUAGUCAACUUACUUGAUGAGAAUGUGUAUUUACAGCAGUUCUUGGUGGUUUGGGAUCUUUAGGUCUCAUUUCUCACGUGACUUCUGGUCAUUUAGCCCUUUCACCCCUGUUCACCAUCCAUCUAAACCAUGGAAGGAGCAUGUAGGACUGGAAUUCAAAUGUGUAGAUUUAAAUAAGCUUCUUUUUGGUUAUUCUUACCUUUUCAAGGGAGCGUUGGUCCACAUUAACGCCAGUGACAGAAAGUUAACUGAAUUUUACAUGCUGUUUGUCCCACCUGUCAUUAGAUACAUUGAAGGACUGCUGACCAUCAGAUGUAUGUUUUUAAAUUAGUUUAAUGUCAUGUGUCUAAUUUAAAAAUAGUGUCGUGGUGGGGGCACAUAUGCCAGUCGGAUGCUCUUUGAGCAUGUUCAGAGCAGUGUAAAAUAUUAAGAGGUGACAUAGUUAUAUCUAAAGACUUUUGAAGCCUUCUGUGAAAGCCAGCUUCAAUAGGAACAUCACCUGCAUUAAUAUAUUUAUUACACAGUUCACUUCUGUGAAUUGUAUGUUUUUGUACUUCAUUUUUUCCAGCUACUCCUUUAGUGUUUUUUCAGAAGUUUGUUAUUUAUGGAUUAGCCUAGUAGCUCAUUCUUAUAAUUAUUGCUUUUUUAAAAACCAUGUUUUACAAACAGGUCUUCACCAAAGCAAAAGCGGUAUAAAUCCGAUUGGGGAAUGGUUCAGAGUGAGAAUUGAGCCCUUCUUGCAAUGUGGAAAUUUCCUAUUGUCCAUUUUCCUAGUGCUGGUUUAAGUCCAACUCACCAUAUAUAUGCUUUUGAAACGAGCCAAUUAGGGCAUGUUUAACUAUCAGUAGGCUUAAAUAAAUGUGUUUGCAUUGUGUUGGAAUUUGGACUUAGGACUUUGGAAGGUGGAAAAUUCCAAAUGCAGGUGAAAGAUUUCUGUCACUGGGCUACGUACUUAACAGCCAGUCCUGUCCAAACUUAAUCUGGUAAUGUUUACUGAGCUGGUGAUGUUUAUGGAGUAUAAAUGAGAUAGGCUAUCUUUUCUGUGGGACAUUGGUUAUCUUCACUGGAGGACUUUUGAAAUUGAAAGAAAGCAAAAGUAACAUAAAUUUGAUACUCAGCUAGAGAAGAUGUAUUUAUAUUUAAUUUGUCCUCAUGAUAUAAAGACUUGCUCCGUGUCUUUAAAAAAGUGAUUUUUAAAAAACUUUUCUGAUGUAUGUAAAAGUUACCCAUAUAUACCCAAAAAAUAACAUUCAUUAGUUUUUAAGUUUCUGCUUUCUCAAUAAGUGUCAAAAAUUUCAUUUGUCUCAGAAAAUUGACUUUUAGAAAUAAGGAAAUGUCCUCACAGACGUGCAAACAAAAUAUUCUUAUGUAUGAGUUUUUAAAAAAAUAAAAGAAAAAACCUAGUAACCAAAAAUCUAAGGAACCAAAAUCUAAGCUGUUUUUACUACAGUGUUAAUAUCUUAAAGCCAAUACCUACAUUCAUUUCUUCUUUGUUUUCCAAGUUCAAAAUGAGGAGACAUUUAUUUCUGUGCUUCCUAUUACUAAUUUAAAAAAAUGUUGAAUAUUGUGGGAUAAUUCCUAACAUGUAUGGAAAAUUAUAUUGUUUGCUGAGAAUGAUGGCAAGGAAAACAAAUCGACUCCCAAGCCGAAAACUGCUUGGGGCAUUCUAAAGCAGUAGACAAUAUAUGUAUAUCAUACACCAGUUAAACUAAUUCUUCAAACAUGGGACUUGUGAUCCUUCCCCCAUGGCUCCCUCCGGGAGAAUGCUUGCUAGUUUGUGUUUGAUCAGUGGUAAGCAGGCAUCAGCUGCCUGGCUAGUUAAUCUUGGCUCUAUGAGAAAACACAGAACACCUGUUUGUUAAUAAUAAUCACCUGUUCAGAUAGAAGAACUGUGCGGGUCACAGUGAGGCUGUCAGCUCGACAGGGUAUCAGCCCCUGAGGCUGUCAGCCUGGAAGGCUGCUUAUUCCCUGAUAGUCCCACUUUGCACUCUAUCUUUGUGUCUGUUUCUUAAUUCCUUCAGCACUGCCUAGGUAGGGGUCUCCACGACCGAGCUGGUCUCUGUAGAAUAUCAAAAAUGAAAAAUUGCAGAAAAAUAAACAGUAAGAGCUAAAGUUCUCCUUUAUUUACAUGUUAUUGUCAAGAUUGCCUGCUACUGGAUUACCUAGUGCAAAUUGGGAUGUUUUUGAUUAACUUUGCUGGAUUUUGACAUUGUCACUUCUCUUUUACCUCUAUUUAGUCUUUGUAUGCUUAGAAACUGCCAGUUUAGUAUAAUAUUAGGUGAAAAGAAAAUGGUUAGAAAUAUAAAUAAAAUCUUUAGUUGAUAGUAUUGUACCAAUGUUAAUUUUUUAGUUUAGAAUAUUAUACUACGGCUAUGUAAGAUAUUAACCUUAUAGAAGCUGGGUAAAGGGUAUGGGGGAACUGAGCUAUUGCUACAGUUCUUCUGUUAUCUGAAAAUUAUUUCAAAAUAAGCUAAACAAUGAUUAGCCUAACUCAACAGCUACAAAGUUAUUAGUGUAUUGCAAAACCAGAGAGAAGUGAUUUGUGUGUUGUAGAGAAUGGACAGAUUCUCUUCUAUUUGGAUGGUUGAAAUCCUUGUUCAUUUUCGUUGACCUGAAAAAUUGGGAGUUGAUGCUGUAUCUUACGAGGAUGAAGAUGCUGUUAGAGUAUGUUUAGUAAAUGCAGACAUCUUUUUUUGUGUUAUGCAUCUCUAUGUGCAUAAAUACACGACAGAUACCAAUUUGCAUAUAUACAUGCAGUAUGCGCUCCUAAAUGAGGUGAUUGGCUUUUUAAAAAUAUCACAGAAUUUCAUUUUAACUUGCUACACAUUUGUUUUCUUGAUGAGAUGGCAGCAAUCAUUUGCCUUUUGAGAAUAAAUUAGAUUCUUAUAUUUUGGAAACACCAGCAUGUGAUUUGGGGCUUCAUGGGUAAGUUGAGCGAUCAGAAUUUUUAGCACUGAGUUGAAUCUGAAUUUAAGAAAUGAGUUUUUAAAAAAAUAAGUGAACUGGCUCUGAAUUUAUUUCCAAAGAAUGGCACAGAUCUUUGUGUGGUUCCUGCAUCAUUGGACUAAGUCUAAUCUUUGUGGAUUUCAACUUUAAAGGAUAUGACUUAUUUGUGUACUUCAUUUGUUUGUUAUAAGUGAGUAGUGCCAUCUGUAUUAACAGAGAGAUGGAAGACUUCAAGGUUUUUCAGCAGUUGCUUUCCCUAGGCCCAUGCUCUAGCUAAGUGUGGACAUUCACCUGGACAUUGGGCUGCAUUUCCAGGCUUCACUAGUUCCACCCCAUUUUACCCUCUCUGAACCCACUCUUCUUGUUCUAGGGUAGCACUGUUAUUAGAGCUUUCUAUGCUGAUGGAAAUGUAUGUCUGCACCGUCCAGUGUAGCAGUCACUGGCCACAUGCGGCUGUCGGGCACUUGAAGCAUAGCUAGUGUGACUGAACAACUGAAUUUUAAAUCGUACUUAAUUUUAGAGAAUAAAUUUAGAUUGCCACAUGUGGCUAGAGGCUCCUGUAGCAGGCAGCACAGACUGAGGGCUGCCAUUGCCAAUUCCUUGAAUGGUCUACCUGGAAUGCCAGUUUAAGUGUGAAAGGAGAGAAUGAACGCAGACACUGAUAGUAUAACUAAGUUGUCUGUUGUUCUCAUAUGAAAUUCCCUUUAUAAGCGUUUUAAUUGAUUGGUGCCGAAAUGAUGGUACUGUGUUGACUCCUUGUUUUUGGGUUGCCCUUUGUGAGAGGUACUCUUUGGGUACCACUUUGAAACCUGCUUUUCUUUUACAUAAAUUUUUUCAUGUCAGUAAACACGCUUCUGACUCGUUUUUAAUGACUGGUAGUGUUCUGUUUUAUUGAUGUGCAAUCAUUUGCUUAUCUUCUAUUUAUCCUUUUUCAAAGUUUUUAUGUUACCUACAAAUUCAAGAAGAUAUCUUUGUUUUGUGACUUAGGAAAUUCCUGGGACUCAAAUAGCCAAGUGAAAGGGUAGGGAUAUAUUUAGGGUUUUGUAGUGGUGGUUUGUUUAAUGCACACUCCAAAAGUGCCCCCUGCUGCCAAGCACCCUCCCCCACCAGUUUGUACCAUUUUACUCUCUAAAUUGGUGUUUGUGACAGAUUGUUAAUCAGAGUGAGAAACACUUGAGGGAUUGUGUGUUCACUCAAAGGCUGCUUUAAGGCAGCAUCUCACACUCGUCUGUCUGCUCUUUCUGCUCUGUUCAGGGCAAAAAUCAAGUGGCCUUGAAUGUGGUGUAUUUGAUAUUUGGCUUCAUUUGGUUGGCAGGGGCUGGGGGUGGUCCAGAAGGGGCCUGCAUAGGUGGGAUUGAGGCCUAUCAGGCAGGGUUCCUGGGAGGUCCCACCAGCACUCCCUCUGCUUGCAGUUCUGCUUCAUGCUGCCUUUUGUGUGGCUUAGUAGAGAAAUUCUGUCCCUGGGGUAGUAGGUCUGGGGCCUUUCAGCUCUCUCUAAACCAAGUACAGAAGAGAGAGGGGCCCUUGUGUUUCCUACCUGCAUGACAGCGCUGCUGCCCUUUCGGACAGUGACAGCCCCGUCCGAGCACAGUGGUGUAUUUUUCAUGAGGCUGGGCUGACCUGCUGGAUUAAGCCGAGUUCCAGGCUGGCCUUGAAGAUAGGUGCUUAUUUUAAAUUUGGGACCAAAGGUGGCCUUUGUUCUUUCACGUUUUUGUUAGGAUGCUGUUUUAUCUUAGUUUUGAGAAAGGUUUCAAGUUUUUCAAGACGUUUCUUGAAAAAGUGGCUUCCAUUUUUAAAAAGUAAGUUUAAAACUGUGGGAACAGAUCUGUACCAACAUGUUAAUCUGGGGCAUUGUAUGGCUGGCUACUGGCAAGGAGGCAAAAUCCCCAGGCUUUAGAAUUGAUGGUGAAAAGAUUUUCUCUUUCAACAAGUACUGGACAUGUACAAAAUGCAGAGCUUAUGAAGAUGGGAAUAACAGUGCUUGCUUAGCAGGGGAUAGAGAGUUGAUGUGAGAAGUAAGAUGUACAAUGAAAAGUCAUGAAACAAGAAAUCUUUGUAAUGAUAGAAGGCGGAAGAGGCCAACGGAUUAACAUGUAUUGCGGACCUGUUGAGUUCUGGCCCCGUGCCGUGCUCUAUGUGCAUUGCUGAGUUCAGUAGGGUGGUAGAGGUAUGUCUGGGCACCCAUGAAGAGUGUCCUGGAGUGUUGCAGGUUGCUUGACCCAUGUCCAUGGGUAGAAUUGGUGGGAGGGGCAGCACUCAAGCUGAGCCUGGGAGCCUCAUUAAUUUUGAUGAAAAGGAAAGGAUGUACUUUCUAGGCACAGAGAGGACCCUGAGAAAGGUUUUCCUCACGAGGCCACAUGGUGGCUGGGGCAUUUGAGCUUUACUCUCAAGGUAGGGAGGAAGGUUUCUUAGCAAGGCAGUGACGUGAUGAAGUUGGAGUUUCAAGGUGAUUUAUUGGGUAUGAGUGAGUAGGCUAUGUGGGAAGAAGGGAGGCUAAAAGCAGGGAAACCAGAAUUUCUGUCUGGAAACAGGGACACCUCCCAGUGUUGUUGGCUGUUGUUACCCUUGUGGAAGUUGCCAAUAGAAGGAUCAGGGCUGGAUCUCUUCAGUCCCAGGGUGGGCUAGAACCCCUGUUCCACCAUGCGCUAGCUGGGAGCUGUGAGCCUGGUGCCUGUCUUCCUUCUCUGUAAAAUGGAACAGUAAAAAAGUGUGUACCUCAUAAAAUGGUUUUGGGUAUAAAAUGAAAUAACAAAAUAAAGUGCUUGGUACAAAGUAACUGUGCUCAAUAAAUAUUAGUUAUUAAUAAUAUUGCUAGGUAAAGGUCAUUUCUUGUGAGAUAACAUGGGCCCACAUCUCAUGGACUGCCUAGUACCCCGAGGAUCUUCCUGGUGAUUUACGUCAUGGAGAUCUGUGCUGCUUGCUCUGUGGAAGUAGUCCAGGGUCAAACAAACAAAAAGCAGUAUGGACUGAUAAAUAUUCAGGCUGAAAUGGCCUUGCAGUGGACUGUGGACAACAUUUGUUACAAGUAUGUGACGUGCUGGUGACCAUGUCCGUCUUGAUUUCCACUCCCGUGUUGGCAUCAGCAGGACAAGAACAGAGCAGGACGGUGAGGCUUGAGGUCCCGCUGCGACCUCGGACCGUAUUUCCUCCUGCCAGAGGCAUCUGCCAAACUGUUAAGGGCGUGGACAUUGUUUAGUUUCAGAGAUGGAUUUGUCAUCACAUUUGCAAAGAUCCACACAGCGUAGGGAAGUUGUGGUCUCAGGAAAGACGUAAACAACUGUUUUUCUAAUUCCUGAGAACCUGGAUUCUUGCUUUCAGAAGACACAGAAGAAAUUCCAAUCAGUUUUUUUAUGGGAAAGAGUCAUGAAAAUAUAAAAUAAGAUAAUACAUUCUUGGCUUAAUAUGUCCUUUUUGAGAAAACUACUCCAUUGAGGCUGUUCCCUAUUUAAAUUUAUCUUGCCUGAGAUUAUCAUAGGAUUUUUAUUAGUGUGCUGAGCCAACCACUUACCUGAGCUGAAGAUGCCUAUAAAUUUGCAAUUGAAAAAUUUCUGAGAUUAAGCCUACUAAUGUGCUGCUUAAUGUUUCUUAUUCUUCACAUUUUCUAAAUAUAUGUAUUUUUUAAAUUGAACUUCAUAAAUUUUAAUUUCUAAUCAAUAUUUUUAUUACAGGUGAUCAAAUAAUAAAGCACAUUUGAAUGCAGACUCGAGCAACUCCAAAUUUUGCGAAUCACUUUUAAGAACAUUUACAAAGGUGACCUGUUUAUUCUCUGCAUCAGAAUUAAUUACCCAGUUUUAAACCUGAGGCCUCAGCUUGGGAGGAAGACUGGGGCACAGUAAAGAUGCUGUAACUGUUCCCAUGGCAUGGACAGCUGGAGCAAAGGUUGGAGGGCGUGGGCCGUGUGACUCUUGUGUCUGUGAGGCAUGGGGAGAAGCGAAAACCAAGAAGGAUGGUCACAGCUAGGGCGGGAACCAGGAGAAGCAGCCACAGAAGUCAGAGGAGGAAAGAACUUCAAGAUGAGGAGGAUGAUCAGCAAUUCUGAGUUCUCAGGCAAUCAAAUAACAAAGCAC